GAAGUUGAGGCAAGGAUGUCUUGAUUGCAUACCUAAAUCUGAUAGAAUGUACAAGCUGAAGACCUCAUUCAAACACAAUGGUCUAACUUGGUGUGAAGAGUGAGUGACUGUCACCCAGGGACUGCAUGGUGCAAGGUUUUUGCAGGCUGUUUUUGACACCCAAGGGAUUGAAAACGAAUCAUGGAAUAUUGUCCAGAACCAGGAAAAUUUGGAUGCUGCAGAAGAAAGAUGGCUUUUCCUUCCUCUUUGUUUGAAACCUCUCUGUUCUGGAUGAAUGCAAUGCUCCUGGGACCCAUGAAAAUUCCCUGGAACCAAGAGCUGCAAGUACCACAACAAGGAGAAAAAAAAGAAUUAAAGUGUUAGGUAGGAUACAGCUCAGAGGCUUUUGAUAAUGGUUUUGGGGCUGACCACCUUCGGUGCCUUUGGAACACUUCACCAGUGAGAUGCUUAAAAUACCUUUCUGAACCUCACAGCAUGUUUGAUGUUCAUUGACAGAGGCCAUGUGAAGCUGCACAUCCCUCUCCAGGAGCAGAAAAGAGAGCACAGUGGCUUCAGUCUGCAAACUGUGAGUGAAGAGGAGAGGUGUGCCCACGCCCACAUGGACCGGCUGCAAGAGGACAUUUUGCCCAUUCCUUCUACUUCAAUUCUCCUCACAUUCUUCUCUAGCCUAGGAAAUUUGACUUUAUCUCCUGUAGUGUUUGAACACCUGUAUCCUCUCCUCAGCUGCUGGGUAUCACUUCAUAUUCCCUGAACUGGUGGUGGGAUUCUAUCAGAGAUAUCAGAGGACAUGGAUUUGGCAGUGGUAAGCCCUGAUAAUAAAACCAUUACAAGUCAGAUUUUGUAAGCCAUCUGCUGGAUAUCCAGAUCCCAAGGAUGGACUCAAAUAUACAUGUGAAUAUUUCAGAAAACAUUCCACGUAAUUGUUGUAUUGAAUAAACUGUUGUAUAGAAUCAUUUCUUCAAAAUCCUGAGCACUGAAAUAAUGUGUGUAAUAUGUACUAUUCUGAUCAUUAAAUUCUGCUCUGUGCCAGUUCUCAACAUGUAAGAACAAGUCCUGCCUUUACCGUGGGGAUGUGAUGAGCUAGCAGCAGAGAAGCAGUGCCUCCCUGCAGAGCAGUAAGACCAGUGGAAAUAAUCAGGAUUUGGGUUUUGAAAAGCAGAAACUAAUGUGCAAGAAUGUAAAAAAUAUAGGCAGCUUUCUAAAUUAUUUUCAGGUGUUUUCUUUAACCCAUCUGUAAGGAUGAAAACAAUGUCAGAUUUUUCCAAAGUCUCUUUUUAAAAUGAGUUUAGAAGGCAGUUUCCAGAUAAUGUACAUUUUCCAUGUGAUGCCAUGCAAAGUUCCAAUCCUGCUCAAGGCAAUUUAAGAUUUGAUGUUGAUGUCAUGAAGACAGUAGCAAAAUAUUUCAGGUGUACACUUAGACCUCAGGAUCCAUCCCUGUCACACAGAGCUGUGUAGAGCUGGGGAGCAUGGAGGGGUUUUAGGACAACAGUCUGCUCUGCCAGGAGCAUUUUCUGGCCUGAUGUGGACAUCCCCAUGGGAAUUGCUGCCUCUGAAGUUGGUAGAAGGGGUGUUAGGGUGCACAGUGUGUAAGAAGGGGGCAGCCACAGCUUUGCUGUGGAGGUUGAGGCAGGGCAGCUGUUAUAUUAUGAGUCAAUCUUAUUCUUAUUUCUUGUGAAUCAGAAUUGCAAAGGGAGUGUGUGUUGCACUGCCAGCACAAUAUUAUGUUGUCCACCUGAAUUUGUAGAUUUGCACUUAAACAUCCUCAGUCUGCUCUGUGAUUGGUUACCCAAAACGGAGUUUUCACAUUAAUUCUGCAGGUGAUUCAUUCUGCCUUCUUGUUUCUUCCCCUAGGAGACCACUGGAUUUCAUUCCUUAGCUAACACUGUCAACCUUCAGAAAGCACGUCUUUGCAUUAUGGCCUCAUAUAAAGUUGGUAACUUUUGCAUGUCAGGAAUGAAAAGGAAAUGUAUAAACAACAUGGGAAGCAUGGUCAGGUGUCAAGGAAAGGGGAAGAAACGAGUGUGAUCCAGAACUUUAUAUCUCUUUGUGGGUGACUUGACUGAGAUACAGAUGGAAGGGACAGAUCUUUUUGCUAUUACUCCUCAGAAUCAAAGGAUAAGAAAUUGCUGUGCUGGAGGUCACUUCAUCCUGACUGCAUUCAUAUACAGGUGAUCUGUUCCAGUGCACAGGGGCAUAUCCUGCAGUGUUAAAAUCAAUGGGAAUGUUGCUGCUGAAAAUAGGAAAAACAUUUUAUCUUUGUUUCUGAUAACUGAUGUCACAAGAUCAUGGAAGGGGUUUUACUGCUCUUAAAAACAAUCUGAACUUCCUGGUGCCUAAUGCCUCCAUUGUAAGUGUCAUUUCAUCAGGAUGCUGUGCCUUGCGAAUCCAGGGAGAAGGUUAUACUCUGGAAAGGCAUAUGAAGCCAGCACUUAGUGAGAAACGAGUAAUUAAGACAUAUGGAUAGAGAAGGACACAUCAAAAGCAACAAUUUAACAAAGUAGGUGUCUGACAACAAGAAACAGGAACUGGGAAGGUGAGGUUUCAGGUGAACUCAUAGAACAGAACAGUCAUGGUUAUACUGGAGCCUCAACUUGUUGCACUCUCAGCUGCUCUUUCCUCCCUGGAGUCUUUCCAGCCCAGAUGGUGCAGCUGAGGCUGCAUGGCCUGAGGCAGAGUGUUGGAGCAACAGCAUGUUGUUAGCUGGCUUAGCAAAAAAUUGUCUUUUUUUUCUUUUUCAGCCUAUGUACUGUAAGCUGAGGCCUAACUCUGGACUUACGCUUUUCCUGUGGUUGAAUCCAUAGAGAAUUGGACUGUAAUAAUGGCAGCAGAUUGCAUAUUUUCUUGUCUUUGGAUGGCUUGACAGCAGGCCAGUGAUAGCAGUUUUCAGAGCAAUAAGGAUUACCUGUCUGUUAUAUUUCUCUUUCCCCAGUUACUCCUCUCCCCAAGCUGAAUUAUGUUUUUUUAAACAGAUGGGAUUUCUUGUGCAAGUUAACUUGCUGGAGCCUGUGCAAACCUGGGUUCUGGUUGUUCCAGUGGAGCACUGUCAAGUCUAUGCACAGCCACAGCUUUCUAGUUUCUUUACAAAUAUCUGAUUCCAAGCAGGCUGAAUCUGUAUCUCCUGGAGGUUGGUAUUCCUCCUGUAAUAUUUCUGUGCACCCUCAUCUCAUGGAUCAUUCAGAAGACCAACAGUAGCAGCUCAUUCAUUAGGUGGUGGUUGCAAAUUCCUGAAGUGGGGAAAGGUGUUCUGAAAAUUUAUCCAAAACCUGGACUUUUCUCUGUUUUUUUUUUUUUUUUUCAUGCUUCUUUUAUAUUUAUAUAUUGCUAUGAAAUAUUCUCAUCUUCUCUUAAAGUUGUUUUCAGUUUAGCUCUCAGUAGAGGAGCUAAUUUUAGAUAUGUCGUUUUGCUUUUUUCCCCUCAUAAGAGCCUGCUAAAUAGAAAGCACUUUUCUACAGGAAAAUGUUCUGGUUUGGAUUCCACCUUUUUUUCUUCUUUAGCAGUGUUAAAAAGAUGUUACUGAAUUUGAACAGUAGCAAACCUCAGCCCCAAACAGAGAAAUAUGCAGUCUUUCUCAAGACAUGUUGAGACAUCCCCCUGCAGCUGUAAUGGGUUAUCAGCACAUCUCCACCCUUUUACCAGAUGCAGUCUCUUAGAGGCAACUUUGUCUUCCGUUGUAUAUCAUCUGAUCUCAGCUAGUGUCAAAAGACCCAGGAGCUCUCUGCCUGUCUGCUGGGAACAUUGAUCCACUCACCACAACUAUUUACAAGAUGUGAAGUCUUUCCUUCUUUCCUUCCCUUGCACUCUCUUUCUCUCUGUAAAAACAAAAAAAGCUGUCAGUAUUUCAGAAAGUGUGAGCAGCAGAUCGUUGUGUACUUUAAUCCAUAAAUAAACAUUUCUUCUUUUGAACUUCAUUAAAAUUGGAUGUGUUUUCACUGUAAAACACUUCAGCAUCCCUAUCAUUUAGACAUAUUUGGUGAUGAAUAUUGCAAUUAAGUUUUAUCUGUAGGAAUAAUUGUUGUCUAGAAAUACUCAAUUUAUGCCAAAAAAGUAAAUAAGAAUCAGACUGCAAGGCAUACUGCUUAUAAUAGUAAUUUUAGAUGUUAAGCUAUGCUCCUGCUCUUUUAACAGGUUGGGCCAAGUGCAUCUUUGUUUUUAUUUCCAAGCUUGCGGGGAAGUUGUGGAGAUGUGAGAUGUGAGUUUGGUUUGGCUUCUGCACAAUUAUAUCUGACUUUCUUCUGGUAAGACUUGUUGAUGUAUCACAUUCAAAUCUCCAGCUUUGCCUUCUCUGCAUUUGACCUGAAGAAAGGAAUUCCUGCUUUAAAAUGCUCAUCAAUCAGUGCUGUGUAGUUAAGCUGAUAACAAAGCUAAGGCUAAGCCAGUGUUAAUUUAGCCAACUGUUACAUUACUGACAAUAUUUGUCAGCAAAUGAUUUUAAUUAGACCAGCAUAAUGAGGUAAGUAGGCUAAAACUAAGCAAAUUACGAAAACUAAAGAGGGAUUCUGAUGACAAGUUCUGAUGAGAGUAAGAAUGGAUUUUUUUUUUUUUUUGCCACCAAGGUCUGAGUAGCAUGUGGGAAUGGAGAGGCAGCACAAAUCACAUGAGAAAUCAGUUAAAAAUGAUGCUGGUGUGCUGGAAUGCUGAGCUGGUGUCAGGGAGGCUUGCAGAGUUUGAGCAAGUGCUGUGUAAACUUCCUGAGCAGCCCUGCAUGCCCGUGACACUCUCCCUGGUUUGUGUGCAGGAAGGGAACGGGGCAGGGAAGGCUCCUGGAAGGCUGAAGUGAAUCAGGCACUUGUGCUGUGAGAUAAAGCAGGGGAAGGCAGGUGGAAUAGGACCUUCUGAAGUUUGUGGCUGUAAUUAGGACAGGUAGGGAAAAAAGGAAGAGUAAGCAGGGAAAAAUGCAGUAUUUGAGAAUGAAGAAUAGAGGGUCAAAAAGAAAAACAUUGUUUGAUGUUUGAAUAAGGAAAUGUUUGGGGUGAAUAACCUGCUGCUCUAUUUGUUUCUUUCUCUCCCUACAUAGUUUUUUUUUUGUUCUGAUUUCUGGUGGAGAGUUCUGGCCCCUGUGUUAUUUCCCCCUGCCUGCCCGUGGUCUUCCUGAGACCUGCUGGCAGAGGGAGGUUUUCACAGUCUGAAGUGUUGAUUCUGGGAAGUGUGAAGGAAACAGAACCGUGCUGGAUGAUGUGACUCACCUUGGAGAAGUUGAUGUUUUCUGGCUGAGGGAAAGUGGGAAGUUUCAGCUUUGCUAGUCCAGAUGUUUUAAUGGAUAUUGCUGCAGUAGGAGAAAGCCUGGUCUGCCUGUUUGACUCAGUCCUGCACAGGAGAACAACAAGUUACAUACUAACAUAAAUGUUUAAUGAUUUAUGAUAAAAAAAAAAUUAGAUGGCAAGCAAAAUACCAGGUUAAUUGACUAUGGAGUCCUAAGUUCCCCAAAAUGUAGCAUUCCAGCCAAAUAUGGCUGAAAUAUCAGCUGUCAUAUGAUGAACAUUUUAAAGAAGAAUCUAUUAUACACCUAGGGGUUCAUUCGCUUCAGUAAUGAGGACAGUUACCUCUGGGGAAAGGAAGCUAUAUUAUACUUGCCACUUAACCAGGGGCUGGUUUGACAGGCAUCAGCUCAGAAUAUAUGUGUAUAUAUAGGGAAUCACAACAGCUUGUCUCAAGCUUACUGAGCAGGAAAUGUUGUGCUGUACAAUACUCUGGGUUUCUAUCUAUGGAUUUGUGGAUGGCACUGAGUGGGAUUCAGACUAUUUUUAUUCCUGAGACUGAUUGUUGAGUUGGAAUCCAUCACCUGCUAAAUAUUAAAUCAGCAGGUUUUUUAAAGAGUAACACUGUCUCUGCUGACUUGAAUAUCCUUAUGUGGCCCAGAGGAAAAGAGAAAUAAAGACAAGAUAAGAAAACUAUCGUCUUUGGCAUUCUUCUUAAUAUUAAUGAUUUCUCUAGUUUUCAAACUGUUG